CAUAGUUAAUUCCAGGUCAGCCUGGACCAAAGUGAGACCCUACCUCGAAAAAACAAAAAAACAAACAAACAAAUAAAUAAAUAAAUAAUGAACAAAAAAAAUCUCAGAAUAUGGUGCCACAUGACCUGUGGUAAGUUAUCCCUGUUUCACAAGUUGAGAACGGUGAAAAUGCCUACUCCUGAGAGAAUUAUUCAAGGCAAUUUGCACCAUGCUAAUUUAUAUUUAUUAUAUGUUAAUAGUGUUUUUAAUAGAUAGUAGCUGUUACAGCUGGGACAAAAUUGUGGAUAUGUGUGUAUCAAGCCAUUCUUCUGGAAAAUGGGGUUGAAGGCAUUCUGAAACACAACUGCCUUGAAUCUAAUUAAAUUAUAUGACCACAUACUGCCCAUCCCAAACUGCACUUUCUAUGAAGAAACCCAAGUUAUAUCCCUUCGUGUCUUAUCUAAUACCUUCUAAACCAACAAAAAGAGACUAAAUGAGACACUACUGUACUGUAGCUAACAGCAAGAACAGAAGCAAGGCUAGGAAAGCAAUGUAUCGACGACAGAAGGAUGGAGUGACUUGCACCGAAACCACUUCACAUAGUAUGUUCGGCACUUUGGUGGAUCACCGUUGAGCUGUGAUAAAAGAUAAACAAGGCCGACGGCUUUCGUACAGAUAGUUAACCUUAUAAGCAGCCAUAUCAUAAACCACCAGGCACUGGCAGGACAGCGCAACAAACACUUUCCAGAAGCAUGCUCAAGCAUUGCAAAAUGAAAAUAAGCUCAUGUUUGGUCUUUAGGAGAUCUUGGAAUCUAGGCCUUCAGAAGACUUUUCUGCACUUGAAGGAACUGUCACGCUGAUUCCUGGCUUACCCAUUUGAUUUCUAAGAAUAUUCUGCACGUUUUUCUUUUGUCUUUUCUCCCCUGAAUGAUGCAGGAAGAAAGGGCACAUUGCAUAGCAUAUAUAUUGAAUGAAUAAAUGGAAUCCCUUUUGAAAGAGACCAUUAACAGAAAUAAUUCUCCAUUGGCCUUGCUCUGGUGCUGAAAGUUUGAACUGUCCCUGAAGGAGGACAAAAAUAAUGAAAUAAAAUGCUAAGCUAUGCUUAGAUGGAAAUAAUAAAUUAUACAAGAUAUCCCUUGGUUUAUUUUAACUUAACCCUUGUGAAUACUUCACAAAAAUAUAUACAGAGAGGCAAACAAAACUAUACAAAGUAAAUAUCCUGAAGAAAAAAAACAAGUAGUCAAGUUGAAAGAUGUGUAAGUUGCUAAGUGGUUGAUGAGGUGGUUUGCAUUAUCAAAAGGGGUCACCAAAAAAGCAUCUUCAAUAUAACAGAAGUAUUCUUUUUUUAACCUGAAAGAUAUGGUUAAUCUAUAAAAUGGUUUGGGUAACAUGCAUUGAACAGUACAAUGACCAGUAUUUAUUGAACUCAAACUAUUUACUGUUGUAAACAUUUAACAAAAACACUAUGAGAUCUAAGUACAGUCUUUGACAAUUCCAACAAAAUAAGUGGUAUGUUGAAAAAAUAAAGCUGAUGAGCAAGAUUCAUCCAUUCUAUAUAUUGUCUUUCAAGUUCCAGAAAAAGAACAGCACAGGAUUUUUUAAAAGUAUACAGCAAAGAUUGUUCAUAUUAUAAUGUCAAGUUCUGGAAACUGUAAAUACAAAUAAAGUCAUUGAACAGUCAAA